UUAAACUGUCUGCCGGACGCACAAGCGCAGGAGCUCAUGGAGGAACUACAGACUCGCCCACGGUCGCUUUUACCAAUCACGUUCACGCUCCGGACACCUUCUCUGGUUUCAAACGCGAACACACGCGCUCCCGUCGCCUUAAAAGCGAGCCCGCCGUGCGCGCAUCUGCACGUCACACACGCAGAGUCGCUCCCAAAUCUGCCGUCGUUUGACCACUUUCACGCUCCCACGCCGUUUUUUAAAAGCAGAAGCAAACAUUUUUCCACGUGAGGCGUGGAAAGAACACGGGGCAUAUCUUUUCACAGUCCCCACAGUAAUGUGAUGGUGUUCCUUCAUACCGUCACGCUGUCUGAAGUUUUCUUCAAUUCUGCCUUCCUUUCACCAUUUGAGCGCAUUUAGGCAAGACUGGACAGACAGGGACAGACAGGGACGAGCCAGCGAGCAGGAUCUGGAGAAAGUCCCGUCCAGGAGGAUGAAAGAGCCCGCGUGCGUUCGACUCACAUCCUAUUCGUGACACCGGUUUGAUGCUUGACAGAGAUUUGAACUCCUCAUCCCAGACCUGCGGAAGCACCACGGUGCUACAGACCCUCGCGGUGCAGCACCGAGCCUCAUCUCGCGCCCUCUCUUUCUAAAACAGAAGUUUCUCUUUUCACAUCUUCAAUGUAAAAAGAGAGCAAUAAUAACCUCACGGCUGCCACGCAAGUAUUUACUGCUGGGAGCGAACGAGAUUUAAAGGGAUCCAGAACAAGUUGCUUUGAAUAAAUCAUGCUUUCAUGAUCAUUUUGCUUGGUGGAUGGAACAAAGAUCAGAUGGUCAGUCCUGCCCAGGGUUUCCUGGCUCUGUGUGACAAAGUUAAUCCCGUAGCAAAGAGCUCAGUGGGAGCUGAAAUAACGAGUGACUAGAAUUAGAUUUUGUGCAACGUGCCCCGGCUUGAUUGACACAUUCUACAAUCAAAUCAAAGUGGUGACAGCUGGGGCUGAUUUCCCACAACUGCUGCGGUUUAGGGACAAAGAGCCGAACAAACGGGAAAGCAAAAAUACAGAGAAACUCAGCAGAACAGAGGAAGAGCUCGGAGGAGGAGGAGGGGGGGCUUCUUUUUUUUUUCCUUGACGUCACGUCAGAUUAUUAUUUGGAGCUUGGGUGUUAUUUGUUUUCCAUUAAGCUAACUGCCGUCAUUUUCGGACGCCGCCGCAGAGAUGCUCGGACGCCGUCGUUUGCAGGAGGCGACGCCAUAAACGCGUAACAAGCUACCAGAGCUACCUGGAGGCUGUGCAGCAAGCCGUAAACGCAAAGUUGACGUAUUAUCACCUUAUAAAGUUCAUCUGGGAAACACGUUGUCGGAGCAGUUGCGGCGACGCCAGAGCUAAAACGCGGGGACAGAUUCAGUCGUCCCGCGGCGCUGAUGUCGGUCACGUGAUUCAGACGCGCUGUCGCGCAUCCAGGCACGGUUGCGUUCGACGGCAGCAGGUUGACAGCGACAGCAGAGGCCGCCUGAUGAAAUCUGACGGGAUAAUUAAUGCCAGAUCCCGUUAUGUGUCCGUGACACGCUACAGGUGAGGCACGAAAAACACAAAUACGCAGAAUAAACAAUUUCACUCUGAACGUUGACAUUUUCAGCAAUAUUGAAGGUGUAUCGACUCUGCACUGGACUAAACUGUUGUACAAAUAGGAUAAUAGCAUAUAUGUGGCAACAGCGGGUCUGGUUCACAUUAGGUUUCCACGCAGGGAGGUUAGGAAGCCUGGGAGGCUCUUCCCAAACAUGGGAGAUGGGACCCGGCAGAGCCUGGUGCCUGGUUGGAGCCCAGAGGUGGCUGCUCUGCGCUGCACAUGCAGGAGUUGGUAUUCUGUCAGUUCGAGCCCGUUCUGCAGCACAUAUGAUUCCAAUCAGGGUCAAAGUUUAAAAUUGACUCAAUCACCGUUAAUUGAAUUCUGACGAUGGGGAGCGGCUGAUUCCUGAAUUGACCGUGACCUCGCGAGGCUGCUUUAAAGUCGGCGAAUUCCUCAAGAGAAUCUUGAGUUCUGAGGUUUGAUCGUUUUUUUGCCCCCCUCUGCGAUGCAUAUUUUGAAAAAACAACAACAACAACAAAAAAACCAAUAAAGAAAGGCGUGAAUUCAGCUGCAGCUGCCGAGGCCGUGAGCAUGAGCGCCAUGAGUGUGAAGCUGGCGAGAACCACGGACGUGUGUGUUUUCCUGACCCGCGUGGGACCCGUGUUUGCUUCUCUGCGUCUUAAGCUCUUGGUGGAGUUUCAUUAAAGUAUGCUUUUAAGUUAAUGCAUGAUGUUAUCACGCAUCUCCGCUCAGCUCAGCUCAGCUCCUCUCUCGGCCUCUCUCACUUCAUUUGUUAUCACUUCUGAUCUUCUUCCUCCUUUGACUGUCUCCCUCCGAGCGCGCGCGCGCGCGCGCGCGCGCACACACACACACACACACACACACACACACACACACACACACACUGCUGUCUCCCUCCGUUGUUCUCUGCCUGAUUUACUCAGCCUGCUUCAAGGCACUCAUUAUCUACUUGAAGCUAUGGAGUUCCUUAAAAGGCAGAAAUAGAAGAAGGGCAAGAGGAGAGGGUUAAUACUUGAGGCCUCGGAUACUCAGACCUCCACCGGGUCUCUAGUCCUUCUUAGGUGCAUCCUUUGUUUUGCCUUUCAUGCCCAUCCCUCCAUCCAGAGUUAGUGUUACACCAGUAGCCCUUUCUCUUUCCCCACUCGCCUUGUUCACGAGUUCUUUCCCUGGAUCAUUCAUCAUGCGCUGUCGCCGGCGGUUGCGACUCUGUCAUGUAAAUAUCUCAUAUUUAUGCGAAUAUGCUUGUCCUGUACUGGCGCUGCGUUGAUUUUAUGCACACUCAGGGUUCCUUUGACUCGGUGCCCCCGCCUUGAAGAGCUUCAUGUCAUAAUUCAAGCCAGAGGCAGACGUGCGAUGGGCCCGCGGGCCCAACGGUGCGGCGGCCGUCGCUUUCACACAGCGGGAGAUGAAGAGGCGAACGGGCCAAUUGAUUUCGGGCACCUCCUCGCCUCGCGACGUUCCAAUGGGCCGUCGGCGUUUGUGCGAACAUGCAGUUUCAAUUUGAGGAGCCACAGUGGGAGUCGCACCCCCAACCACAGCGCUGCUGGUGCCAUGCUCUGCCCACUGGGCUUCAGAGAGGGAGCGUGCAGGGAACCAGCAGGGGGGCUGAUCUUGGCCCACACCCACCACCCUCAAGGUCCACAUGCCCCUCGAACAUGGAAGCUCCUCGCUCCAACGAGACUCCAAAAUUCUGCUUCGUAUGAAACCAUUUGAAACGACGGUUUACAGGUCAUGCUGAAAUGUCACACGUCUAAUUUCAUGUAAGAAAAUCGAAGCUGUAUAUAUGUUUUCUGUCGACGGGAGCUGAAUUAAAUGGAAAAUGAGAUGAUGCUAUUUGUCCCUGUUUUAUCCAGAUGUUCAUAUAAACUCACACGGGAAGAUGAUUGUUUUGUGCAGCACAUUCAGUAGAUGUUUAAUAAGCGGUACCGUUGCGUCACGAGGCCACUGGGACGGUUCUAUGCCACGUACGUGUGAGUGCUGGAGCUCACAGACGCUGACAGCAUCUCAACAACAUGUGGAACUGCACUAGGCUGAUUUCAUCACACCGUCCAAAGAGUGGAGAAACAAAAGUGGAAGCACAAACAAUCUUAAUUCUAACACUAACUAAUUGUUUGAAAAGUCAUUUUUGCCUUUUGUGUCGUUCUCGUUGCGAAGGCGCCCGUCCAGCUGUGGCCUCGUCCACCACGGCCUCGCUGCGUCAUAUGACGUGCACGUGUGCGCUGGCAUCUUGAAAACACAUUCUUUUGGUGCUUUUGGAUCGAGCGGGCCGCACCCACGCGAGGGAGCCGAGGCUCCGCAGCUGACGGGACGCCGGACACAACGGAGGAACAACGGGGACGCUCAUCUCACGCCGGACGCCGCCAGAGCCUGGGAGCUCUGCGACGGAAAAGCUUCCAGGGCUCAGGGACGAUGUUGACGCCUGUCAGUCUGGAAAAGCUUCCAGGGUCGUUCCAAAAGCUCCGGGGCGCCACUGAACCCCGGCCAACUGCACGCUGCAGGAGUAGAGAAACUGUGGGACAGUAGUGAAUCUUCCAAGGAGCGGUCAAACCUGCCAAAAUCUCCCUGUGAACGGAGGAUAAAACUCAGAAAGACCCCGGGCUUCAGCAUCGAGCCGUCUGCAGCCCUCUCUGUCCCUGGCUUCGCCCGGCAUUUAUGAGUCCACUGUCAAAGAGAAAAAUGAGAUUCGUGGCAGAGCAUCAAGACGGAGAGCGUUGCUCGCGAGGAAGCAGGACGAACGCCUGUGCACCGUGUGCCAAAACGCACCCAGGUGAUCCCGCGGAGCGAGACGCUUUGGCAAUUAGGAGCAGGAACCCUGCUGUGUGUGGUAGAAAACUCAUAUCAGCAAGAUAUUUAUAGCCAGAGUUUAGGUUCUGUUGCAUCAGUGACUCUGGGUGCAUCAGGCUUUGAUUAAACUGCUCUGUCCAUAAAUCAGAACGUUAUAAAAUGGCCUUUUAUUGUUAUCAGGACUGAUGUUUCUCAUUUUACCAAUAACUCUAAGUGUCUGACUUGUCAAUAGCAUUAAAGUUAACAAUGAGAGCUUAUUUCUUCCUUCCAUGUAGAGUGAAUAUGGUCACAUGCAGUCACCGCACAAGCUCACUCCCAGGCCCCAGACAUGGCAACCAACAGGGGGAACCAUCCAUCAUACGCCGUGACAUGAACUUGGCCCGAAGCGUCCAUGAAUUGAUAUCAAAAACAACUGUAUUCUAUGAGGUGAGCUGGUUCCUAGCUCUGGUGCAUAAAGCAACGUUAACAACCUCAUUUGAACUGUGCUAUUAAACUGUUUAUUGUGAACAAGGCCCGUUACAUUCACACGGACCUCACAGCAGCUCCAAUGCAUCAAUGGGGGAAUGUACAAUGUGAAAAAAGUUUAGUAAAAAAAUGUUCUCCUAUUAAACGUUGACACUUUCCCAUUUUUUUUGUAUGGACUACAUAGCAAAAGAUGAGACCGAUGCUGUGAAGUGAAGCAAAAUGGUCCUAACCAAAACAUUUAUAGCAAACUCACCACAUAGUGAAACAAACGAGGCCACAAAACUCUCUGACAACAAACAUUUGCACAAUAAAUCUCCUGAUUACAAUGUGUAAAUUGUUUAUGCAGGUUUGAAAAUGUAACACGGCCUGUGUGUUGUCAGGGUGACUCCUGGUUAUAGCUGAAUUCUGCCCUCCUGCAUUAAACUUUAU